UACAUAUCCACGCCAACAGCGAGAAACCAACGGUCGCCAACGCUCCUGUUCUUCCACCAGCAGCACAGCAAGAGAUGUUGGCGUUACCCCGUCUCCUCCUUCCUCCCUCCCUCUUAUGCACCAUCUCCAACCCCCACCCCCUAUCUCUUCUCACCACCACCACCACCACCACCACCAGAAGAAUCAUUGCCCUCUCUCAAUCUCGACAACAUGCCGCCGCCAUCCCCUCCGAAUCAGCUGUCCGCGACUUCUGGCAGUGGCUGUCCGACGAGGGAGUAGCAAAUUCCUCCUCUUCCCCACCGCCAGUGAAGCCGGAGUUCGUCCCCGAAGGCCUAGGCCUUGUUGCCCAGCGGGACAUAACCAAGAACGAGGUGGUGGUGGAGGUCCCCAAGAAGCUCUGGAUCAACCCCGACACCGUCGCCGCCUCCGACAUCGGGCGCGUCUGCGGAGGCCUCAAACCGUGGGUCGCCAUUUCGCUCUUCCUCCUCAGGGAGAAGGCUUUGGGCUCGGCCUCUUCAUGGCGCCCCUACCUCGACAUCCUUCCGCUCGCCACAGAUUCUCCCAUCUUCUGGUCAGAGGAGGAGCUUUCCGAGAUACAAGGAACCCAAUUAUUAAGCACAAUAAUGGGUGUCAAGGAAUUCGUGCAGAGUGAGUUCAUCAAAGUUGAGGAUGAUGUCAUACUUCCAAACAAGGAUCUCUUCUCCUCACCUAUAACAUUCAAUGACUUCCUGUGGGCUUUCGGAAUACUCAGGUCAAGGGCAUUUCCACGCCUUCGUGGCGAAAAUCUUGCUCUAAUACCACUGGCUGACCUCAUCAACCAUAGUUCCAGCAUAACUUCAGAAGACUCUUUCUGGGAGAUAAAAGGAAAGGGCUUCUUCUCAAGGGAACUCAUAUUCUCUUUGCGGACGCCAAUUUAUGUUAAGGCUGGUGACCAGGUGUAUAUUCAAUAUGAUCUGGCAAAGAGCAAUGCUGAAUUGGCUCUUGACUAUGGCUUCAUUGAGUCAAGGCAAGAUAGGGAGGUGUACACUUUGACAUUAGAGAUUACAGAAUCAGAUCCAUUCUAUGGAGACAAGCUGGAUAUUGCUGAAACAAAUGGUUUAGGGGAGACUGCUUACUUUGAUGUCAUCCUGGGUUCUCCUCUCCCUCCAUCAAUGCUCCCAUAUCUUCGUUUGGUAGCUCUUGGGGGAACAGAUGCAUUUCUUCUAGAAUCAAUUUUUAGGAAUUCAGUUUGGGGUCACCUUGAAUUGCCUGUGAGUCGUGCCAAUGAGGAAACAAUAUGCCGAGUUGUUAGAGAUGCUUGCAAAUCUGCCUUGUCUGCCUAUCACACUACCAUAGAAGAGGGUCUAGCUUAUUCAUUUCUUGAAACCUGAAAAGGAUGGAGUGCUGGCUUGUUCAAUACUUCAUAUAAUUAGUUUGAGCUCUGUACUUGAAAUCCACAGCGGAGCACAUCAGAUCUUGGUUAUUUGACUCUUUGUAGUCAUGCAGCCUUUGCAAGUAUCAUCCAGGAUGAAAAACUUAUGGAAGAGGGUAAACUGGAUUCCAGACUUCAAAUUGCAGUUGCUGUAAGAGCAGGUGAGAAGAAAGUACUUAAGCAGAUUGAUGAUUUAUUCCGAGAGAGGGAGUUGGAGUUGGAUGGGCUGGAGUACUACCAGGAGAGGAGGCUCAAGGACCUGGGGUUGG